AAAAUGAACGUUUUUAAAUAGAUUAGGGAAAACUGGUCGAUGAAUAAAAGGAUCGGUCAAGUGAUUUGAUUGAUCAGUUUACUUCAAACAAUCAAAGUUAAUGUUUGAUAUCAAUAGGAAACAAUUGAUUCUCAUUACAUUUUUCAUCUAAGUGAUGAUUCGUGAAUUAAUCCUUCUCGUCGCCGUGAUUUUAACUCUUGUUGACUGUUCACUUUACGAUCCAAGUGAUUACAAUUACAAUGGACACUAUGGACUCCAGUCUAACCCUAAUCCGUAUAUUUCUGAUCCUGGUUUCUUAUCACAAUCUUACCCUGAGUCACAAUAUUACCCAUAUCAACAUUUUCCUGAGACCCACCAACCGAAUUCAUAUAACCCGAAUCAGAGCGGCCAAGAGAUUAAGGGAAUCCAUCAUGACGACUUCAAACAUGGCAACGGAAAGAAGAGAACGAAGUUUGCUAAGAUUUCAAAAAAGAAUAAGAAAAAGACGAAAUAUAUUCAAUCUCAAGCUGAAGAAGAGCUACUUAUGACCAUCUACGAGCGACCAAAGUUCAUCGUUGAUCCUGUUAAAUUAACGAAAAAGAUUGAGAAGAGAAUUAGAAUUAAAGUGAAAAAAGUGAAUCAACACAAAAAGAAAAUACCUUUAAUAUGUAAGAAAUUUCAUCGAAAAUUGGUUGGUUGAUUAAUUUGAUUUCUUAUUUUUUGUUUUCUCGCUAUAAUUUAAAUAUCUUUCAAUCUCAUCAACUUUUAUACUCAUAAACCUUUCAACUGACCAUUGAUGUCCUUCACUUUAACCUUAUUGACCCGAAUAAACUUCAUCUUGUUUUAUAAGCUAAA